UGUCGCCCUCUGCUGGCGAUUCAGUGCAGCGGAUUAUUUGGGUUUCGGCGCGCUUUUCUGACGUGAUUAUAUGUCGACGUGAACUCACACUAAUAGACAGUGCUAUUCAGACCAGCUAACGUCCGCAUCCAGUAUUCAGUGGCAGUUCUCAUAGCCCCAUCACACUGUUUGUGUCUAAUACAUGCAUCGCUUCGCUGCAAUGCAUGCUAAGAGGCAUGUUGGACAACAACAGUGUUGACAGCAGGAGGCAACAGAGGUUGACUGUCUCCCCCAAGGAAGCAGUGAUGGCCAAAUGAAGCAAUGAAGCUUUGCAGUCAGUUGGUUCAAAUCUGUUUGGUCUUUAUGUUCCGUCCCCAACAAAAAGUCUAUACGCAAGUUAUGCUGUUAGAUCGUCCCUACCAAUGUUGAGACCAAACCUACGCCCUUGACUGAAAGAUAACUUGAACAGCAGCUGAUGGCUACAGGUAGUUGAAGACGGCAUCACUGUGAGAAUCGGCACCAGUGACUGAGAUGAACAUCGGCUGAUGGCCCAGACGACUCAGACAAUCUUCAAACAAAAAAUGCACACCCCAAAAAUGUACUCAAUUAUGUAUGAAACCACGACCAAGUAAAGCUCACAUAAACCUACCAGCGAUGUUUCGUCCUACGCCUCCAUAUGACUGACUAACACUUCCUGGGUUUGUCUGUCCAAACUCAGAAUGACAGCAAAAGUUUAAAAAUGACCAUGCAUUAUCAAUGCCAGCAACAUAUAGUGACAGGCAGAAACAUUCUAAUGUAAUACAAAGUCUUACUGACAAAGGCAUCUACUUUUUGUGACAUUUUUUAGCUUGAUUUUCCUAUUGAAAAAUAUGU